UCUCUCUCUCUCUCUCUCUCUAAGUUCUGUUUGUUUGGUUGCCGAGAAUUUUUGAGCAGAAGAGUUUGGAUCGAUUGGCGUUAUUUUCUGUUUGGGUGCUCAGAAACUCAAGGACAAGAACAAAGACUUGUCAGUGAAGGUUGAAGAAGGAUUUGGACCAAAUGGGUUAGGAAUCCUAUUAAUCUCUCAUGUAUGAUUACGUUACUUAAUUUCAAAUGUUUGUCUGUAUUGUCGUUUCAAUCUCUUUUGAUUCGUUCUACUCCUUCUUUUCGUUUACUUAAUUCUGGCAUUAUGCAUAUUUGUUUGACAAUAGAAUUUUCGGUUUGGGUUUUUAUCUACAUCUGCAGAAAGAAUCUGUUAAUGAUUCGGUUAAAAUGAUGAAACACAGGCUUAUCAGAUGUGAAAUCGAAAUGUUUGUUAGCUUGCCAUGAACACACCUAUGUCACGUUGGCGUACUUUGUUCUUCAUGGAUUGUAGAUUUUGCUGUUUUGGCGACGAUAUUUUGCUCCAUUAUUCCGUUCUCAUGUAGUAAUCUGAUAAGUAUUUGCUUUCCAGAAUCAUUGUAAUCGGGUCCUUGAGUUGCCAAUUGCAGGUUCCAGGAUAUUCUUCCUUGCGUCGAGAACUUUUACACCUGUCCCGUAGGUUUAACCUUCUAAACAGGAUUUCGAUGUUCAUUUUUACCUGCAAUUCAGAUGAUUCAGGAAGAUAGUUUGAUAUAGCAGUGGUCAUGGGAGUUUUUCUUUUCGUUUAUUAGAUUAGCCAAUCUCCCUGAAGAGGUGAAGAAGGAACUUGAAGAUCCUCAUAGCAGGUCGUCUUUGGAGAAGAUGCAAUAGCAUGCCAAAUUGGCGAAACCACUGAAGUUCUGUCAAGAGGCUAUCUUUGUGCAACGCCUCAUUGUGUCCGGUCACUGUUUCGAUUCACUGGUUGUUUGUCAGGGCACCCAAGGGAGCGGAGGCUUCUGGUCUUGAUCGUUCGACAUUUGCAUUAUUCAUGCAACGGGACUGGUUUGUACGUUGAUUGUCACCAUAUGAUAUCUUAAGCAUGGUUGUUUGUAGCUAAUCACUGUUCGUUUUGCAGGGACGAAGAGUUUAAUUUUCCAGAGGAGCUAGAUUCAUAUUCAUAAACAGGUAAUGUACUCUUAAUCCCAAAUUAACCAUGUCAGAAGCAUUGUUUUAAAAAUCUCUGCCUACCGUUGCCUAGGCCCCGUCUCACGUGUGUUUUUAAUUAUAUUUAGACAUUUAUUUAUAUAAUAUAAUAAAUUUACCAAAAUUCGCCUAGUCUGCCUAAGCGCUAGACCCAACCCGCUGCUCGACUUGUGCCUAGUGUAGUGGUGGUGGAUCCAGGAUUUUAAACUCGGGGGGUUCCAUUAAUAAAGGUCAAAAAAUUUAUAGACAAAAAUGACAUUGAAAAGUUAAAUAUAAUACGUUUCAUUCAAAAAUCAUAUGCAAAACAACAUUACAAGCUAUAAAAUCCUAAUUCAAGUGUCCACAAUGAGGUUUCAUAGUUUGAAAAUGUUCCAUGAUAGCUUCAUUACCAAUACGUGAAAAAACAUAUUUCUCAAUGUAAACAACUAAGUUGUCACACUCAUUUUGUCUUGAGCUCGAACUACCCGAACAAGUAGAUGGUGCUAUUGGCUUUAGCUUGAAAAAUCUUUUUCAUAUUUCUUAUUUCUAAACUACACAAUUAACAAAAAACACAAAACAUAUACCAAUUAACCAAUAAACAAAAAUUUCAUCUAAAUUUCAAUGAUAAAAUGAGUAUACAAACAUAAAACAUAUCAACAAUCAUAUCAAUAGGUACCAUUUGGUACGCAGACGAGAUGAGACGGGACGGGACAGGACAGAGGUUCCGUGUAUGUUUGGUACGCGCAGGGACGGAACAGAACGGUUGUUCCGUGCUUGCAAAAAACAGAAAACCCCAACCCAAAUCAAACAAAUAAGAAAUCUUUCAGACCGAUUUUGAACAAAUCGUCAAGAAAAAACCAAGUGGGUAUCUCUCGAUUUCAAAACUUUUUCAGUAAAUUUUCGUUCUUUCUGGCCUUAAAACCAAAUUUAUCCCAAAUAUUUUACAGCAUAACAACAAAUGGUAAAGGAUGAGUAAUUAAGCAGUGAGCUCAUGAGAUGUUGUACCUUGCCAUGGAAGUGGUGCUUGUUCUUGAAAAUGGCGUUGUAGUAAGCGUCCAUGCGGACUCGAUCGGAGAGCUUCUCCUUCUGGUAAUAGCAGAAGGCAUAGGUGCAGAAGUAGUUGGCGAAGUCGAUGCCUUUCUUCACCAGGGCGCCGCCAGUGUCACCAUUGCUGGUGCGGCUUUGGUCCCUGCCACGACCGCCGUUUCUGAUAGCUCCCCAUGCCCUCGGAUGGAAGCGAGGAGGAAGAAGAAGGAGACGGAGAGGUUAUAAUUUUGUGUUCCACGGAUGUGGAACGAGUCGUUCCAAGGGGUGGAGGCGGAACGAAAAUUCACCCAAAACUCGUACCGUGGAACAACGCGUUCCACCCGUUUUAGGUGUACCAAACGUGGGACGGAACGCCUCGUCCCACUCUGUUAUGUCCCGUCCCACGUACCAAACGGUACCUAAUAGACUAAAAAUCUCCACCAAUAUCUAGUAUAAUUUAAUUGAGACUAGAUUAGAAUACCAAAAAACAGUUAAUGGUGGCAUGGAGAUUUGAAACAAGUGGAAGUAUGAUAUUGGAGUAAUGUAAUUAUAACAUGGGAUUGGGUGGGAUUAGAAAUUUAGGGUUUUGGGUGAAUAUAAGAAAGGUGGGGCAAAACAAUAUGGAGUGAUGAACAAACGACAGCUUUUGUCUCAUUGUUUUUUUUUUUUUUUUUUUUUUAAAUUAAAACAAUUGGCCAAAACACUGCCGUUUUGGACCAAUUGUUAAAAAUGGUCCCUGUUUUCUUUCUUCUCCCUGCGUUGUCUUCUUCUCCGCUGCAACUUGCAUAACAGCACAGACCUUGUGUUCGAGUACGAGGGGUCUCCUGAAAAUUUUCUAGCAGCGAUUUAGGGUUGCUGAGAGGUCCUGGGACCUCCCAGGUCCCUCUGUAGAUCCGCCACUAGCCUAGCGUCUUUCAAAAUCUUGACACAAAUCAAAAUGUUUAAGGCCCGCAUUCCUCUGCUCUGCUUCUUUCGUUUUCAAUUCGGGUCUCGUGUUUCAGUUGAUUCCACCAAACACUGCUCUUUCCUUUGGAGAGUAUUCAGAGAAGCUCCUUGACAAAUAUUACCACCUGAAAACAUAAAUGAUAAACCCCUACGUAUUUGGUCGGGGAAAUGUUAUUGGUACUUCAAAAAUCUCAUUCUACACUUCUCACAAAUGUAUUUUUCUUUCCAAAUAUAGAAAGUUUGGAGUGUACAAUGAAAGUUUUGGAGUGCCAAUAACAAUUCCUUUGAUAGAUCUAAUUACAAUGUAGUACCUAAACUAAACCGAUGGAAGUUUCUCCACUUGCACGAUUCAUUUCUUGUUGGCAGAUUUGUUCUUCCAUCACUUUCUUAUUUAAAUUGGCUUGUGAAUUAUCAUGGUUGUUUGAGUACCAAACAUUUGCAUACCCUCCUUUCUUCUGCCACUUGUUUGAGUACCGAACAUAGUAUUGAAAUCCAAUCUCACCUUCUACCCGUCAUUGGCAGAGAUUCUCCUGAAUCAUCGGAGCAUAUAAUAACUAUAAAAACUUGAUCUCCUUAAUUGUAGAUAAAAUCUCUCUAACAGAAAGUCAUCUCCAACGGUGAACUAAAUCCCAUAAUAUAGCCUUAAAACACUAAAAACCUAGCUCAACUAAGAGGGUAAAAGAAAAUAUUUUUUAAGUGACGGACCAAAAUUACAAUUAAAACUAAACUUAGAACACGGAAUUAUCAUCGACCGGUCAUUUAUCAUAUAAAGCUAUAAAAAAUUAUUAAAGCUCGAAUUAUAUUUAGCCCUCCACUGCUGGAGAUGGCCCGAGAGACCCGCCUCGCAAACUAAUCCAGCAAUCCCGAUGAUGUUGUAGGCGCCGUUGUUAUUUGUUUACUAACAAAUGGUGUGACGUGGACAACGAAUCACCGCCAUUGUCACAUACGGUAUGUCGUUUAUCGAAUGCGCGCGCUGGCCGACCUGCAGGUCGCUCUCACGCUCCCUAACACGGCCUUUCGCGUCUUGAAAGAUUAAAAAAACGUGGAUAAUAUAGACACGAGGAUUGGAACGUCAGCACACAAAACAAAUUAGUCUAAUCGGAUAAGGACAAAAGUGAGACGAGGGAGUUGCAUGGUGGGGGCUGCACGUGGACGUUGGUCAUUGGACACAGAUGGCCCAUCUGCAUUUCCACACACGGACUUGGAUCCUCUUCUGAGUUUAAGAAGAGGAUCCUCUUGAACAAAUGAUUUAGGCCGUUUGAUGAAAAUCUAACAGUUACAAAUAAGGAGAUUUUUUUAAAGUUAUAAUAAUUAUAGCUAUUGAAUUUUCAUCCAAUGAUCCAAGUCCUUUGGUCAGAAGGAUCUUCUCCUUGGGCUUAGGAGAGGAUCCAAAUCCUUUCCACACGGCUUCUCCUCGCUUUAUCAUCAGAUAAUUGCGAAUUGCAAUGUUGUCCCCACAAUCUUUUGACCAGAAUAUUGUUCUUGUUUGCGUAAUGACUAAAAUGCCCUUUGUGCUACAAAAGCUACUAUUAAUCCACAAUUAUGUGUUCAUUUAAAAGUGUUUUUAAAAUGAUUAAAAUUGAUUUCGGAUUCGAGUAUUUUACAUGUUUUUUGAAAAAAAAAUACUAAAUUGCAGAAUGCACAUAAAAUGUUUUUUCAGAAUUCAUUUAGAUGUUUGAGGGGGUUGAUUUCGAAACAAUUUUUAUCAAAAACGUUUUAAGUUAUUUUAAAGCACUUUAACUAGCGAUAUAUCGUAGAAUUUGAACGAAAUAAGGGAAGGGACAAUAACGUAAAAUUGAGCAUGAAUGACUUCAACAAUCUGAAUAUGUGGGACCGGUUACGUCUGCACUCAUUUCUCUCUCGAGGAUGAUCCUAGAAACUAUAUAAACCACCACCACACCAUCCAUUCCUUCAGCAUUAAUCUAUCUUGUUCUGUUACCCACCACCGAUCUCCGCCGUCACCGACUCGCCAUGACAACUUCUUACUUCCAGCAACCGCAAACACACCAAACUCGCCGCUGCAAGAGCCACCGGAAAAUGGGGUUCGGAAAACGAUGCUUGAUGAUGGCAAAGCAACAGAAGACACGGUUCUACAUCCUCGGACGCUGCGUUUCCAUGCUCCUCUGCUGGCACGACCACUCCAUCUCAGAUUAGAUAGUUCCACAAUCCGAAACUGAUUGGUCCGUGUGAUGCAGCGGAAUUUACGAUAGAAGGAUCAGGUGGCAGAAUCCUAUUGAUUUUCUGUUCUCCAAACUCCCCCAAGAGUCAAAACUGAAAGCUGAAGAAAAGCCGUGGUUGGUGGCAGAGCUUUAGGGUCGAAAGAACUCGAUCAACGGCAAUUGCUUUCGCAAGCCAAGAGAAAAUAUGAUGUAGAAAUGAAGCUAAAGUGUGCUUGUUUGUAAUUGUGACUUUAGAUUUUGCUUCUUUUGACUUAUGUGACAUACACAUACAAUAAUUCAUGUACACAUGUUGAGAAAUUUGAAAGGAGAUCAAAGAUCAAAUGGAAAACAAUGAUUCACA